CUUAAGUGAUGGGGUCAAGGGUUUUGACUUGGGUCGGGCUUGAAGGAAAACAAACCCUAGCCCAAGAGAGGGAGAGAGGGGACGCGGGCUAUGUAGGGUUUUGGGGGGGGAAAGGGGUUUCUUUUCACACUAUUCUGAAGAAAGAAACCUGGUGCACUUCUGAAACACGUAAAACAGAGGAGAAAGAGUGAGAGAAACUUUCCCCUUGCACCCUAGCCGUCACCGUCCCAAGCCCCACCACCGUCGACGUGUUCGCACAAGAGGGAGAAGGAGUUCGCGAGCGAGAGGGAGAGAGGAAGGUCACGCGGGGGAGAAGAGGAGAGAAACCAGAACCUUGCUCUUCAAUUUCAUCUUUUCUUCAAGCCUAAGGACAAAGAUGGUCGGGAAGAUAAUGGCGAUGACUCAUUCUUGGGAGUUGAUGCUACGUGACGUGCCAAUACCGGAGGACGACUACACUUCAGAGGAAGAGGCUAAGGAAUAGGGUUUGGGUUGAGAGUCUUUUGUUUUCUGUUGGGGUUGAGAGUUUCCGAAGUGUUGGUAUCGAACAAUUUUAUUGCUUAAAUUCGAAUGAACAAGUUUUGAUGUAAUCUUUAUUUUCAUUCAGGCCUUUGAUUCGUACUCUUUACAGUUGGUUAUUUAAAAAGUUUUACGAUGUUGGUUA